rnacentral:rRNA from 1 species
UACGUAGGGGGCUAGCGUUGCUCGGAAUCACUGGGCGUAAAGGGCGCGUAGGCGGCCAUUCAAGUCGGGGGUGAAAGCCUGUGGCUCAACCACAGAAUUGCCUUCGAUACUGUUUGGCUUGAGUAUGGUAGAGGUUGGUGGAACUGCGAGUGUAGAGGUGAAAUUCGUAGAUAUUCGCAAGAACACCGGUGGCGAAGGCGGCCAACUGGACCAUUACUGACGCUGAGGCGCGAAAGCGUGGGGAGCAAACAGG